UGGAAUUUACUGACCCCAUAUAUACCGUAUUACGUCACUAGCACACUAUGUAACGAAUUUAUCUUACCGACUAUCUUAACGUGUGAAAUUAAGACUAGUGAUUCUCAAAAUGAGCAAGUCUUCAAUACUGUUAGCACUAAGAAAAUACUUCCAUUGAUCCUACAAAAACAGAUGGCAACAAUAACGACUUGUAAGGUUUAAAUGUGUUUUAUGAAUUUGUUUCAAUCUUAAUCAUCAAUUUCUUCGUCUGUUGGAACUUUUAAGAUUUUUUCUCAGUACCGUUUUGUUUUUUAUAAAGGGACAUAACACCAUUACUAACCGUGUAUGAAAUACCUAAUAAGGAAUAUAAAGGGACGUAACUCCACUACUAACCGUGUAUGAGAUAAGCCCCGCCUCCCUACUAACCUAAUAUCAAAUAUACACGGUUUGCACGCG
rnacentral:lncRNA from 1 species